AUGGAGCAGGUCGGGAGGUGGAACAAUGGCAGAGUAAGGAUGGAAGGGGCAGUGUCUGGAGAGGCGGACAUGAGAAAGGCUGGGGGGGCUCAUGCCGAUGCCCCAUUUUCUGUCUUCUGCCGCUUGGGAUCCGCUUCAUCCUCUCUCUUCAGCGCGGGCCCUUCGUCGUCAUCUUCUUCUUCUUCCUCAUCUGAGGAGCCAGAAACGGGUCAUUGGGGAAGGGCAGGAAGCUCUGGCACAGACCCCCUGCUUCAGGUCUUCAAACCCACCCUGACUCUUCCCUUACACCCUGCCUCCCCCGCCCCUCUCCACCUUCUUCUUCCCCUUCAUCUUCCUCCUCUCCAUCCUCGGCAGUUUCUUCUUCUUCCUCCUCGGCUCCGUUCUCCUCUUCCUGCGGGAAGCCGAAGAAGGAGCGGGGUCAGGCGGGGUCAGGGGGCACGGGGAGGGCCUCCUGAGGGGCGGGGCGGGUGGGCGGGGCCAGAGCCCAGGCAGGACCCGCCCCCAGGUAAGUGGAAGGUGGGAGAGGGGCUCCGAGUCUCCAGCGCCAGCACCCGCCCGCACCCGCACCGGUCCCCUCCACACCUCCACCACUUCUUUCUUUCGCUCUUUCCGGCUUGCCUUCUCCUCCACCUUCUCUUUUUUCUCCUUCAGGUCCUGCAAGAGAGAAAGAGGUCACCUUCCUGGCACCACAAACGAGCUGCAGCUGGCCCGUCACCCCAUCUCCCUCCCUCGCCCCGUUCUCCCUCAGCAGUGAGCCUAGAGGAGUGAAGGAGUUGGCCAGAGGCAGAACGGAGGCCCCAGGGCCCGUAAGGCCACAAAGGGGCUGGGACCUUCCCCAAGACUCAAGGGAGGAGCAAAAGUGAUGAAGACAGAGGAAUGGACAGCCAAGGUAACUCUUCAUCACUCCCACCAAGUUCUCCAAAACCUCACGGGCUGAAGAGUUCAGCUCAGCAAAGCAAAUCCCCUCCAUCUGCUCUGCCGCCCCGAUGCCCCACCCCCUCUUGAGGUCCCUCCGCCUUCCUGGCCUGUCCCCUCCCGCCUUCCUGGCCUGUCCCCUCCCGCUGCCUGCCCUGCUCUGCCUUUUGUCUACCUCUGGGGCUUUUUCCUGAGUACUCACUCUCCUGGGCAUCCCUCCCAGCUUCCCCCUCAGCCUCAAAUGCCUUUGUUUCUCCGCCCGUGGAUCCCCCUACUCCUCAGGCUCCUACUUGGCCAAAAACGCCAACAUGAUGCACAUCUACUCCAAACCAGUUCAGUAGUUUCUUCCUCCCUACAUCCUCUCCCCUGACCCUGCCAUGCGCACACUGGUGUGGUACAAGGGUAGAAGUAACCCUCUCCAGGGGCGGUAUCGGUAAAGGAGGAUAAAGGAAACACGGAAGGGAGAGGGUAUUGGACAUUGUAGAUAGAGAAAACAAGGUCUGUAUCUGGGGUGGGAUGAGAAUGCAGAUGGAGCAGAUACCUGUGUGGAGGACCUUCCCUCCACUGCACCUCUCCACCCCAGGAGCCCAGCAGACACACCUGUGAUGUCCUAUUCUGACAUGGCAGAUGGAGAUGCUCAUGGGUCCCUCCUCUCUGGACAUCACACCAGCCCUUCCAGUUUAGAUUCCAGUCCUCUUCCCACCCACCCCACCCCAAAAGCCCAUGGCAGGCACCAGAUCAACUGUGGAUGUCCCUGUGUGAUCUGAUCUGGUGUUGGCGUACAACUCUGUGUAUCUGAUACCAUGUGGAUGAAGUUUUCGGUGCGAAUAGAUCACCCUGGAGGGUGUGUCCU
rnacentral:lncRNA from 12 species